rnacentral:rRNA from 1 species
AGUGAACGCUGGCGGUAGGCCUAACACAUGCAAGUCGAACGGCAGCACAGUAAGAGCUUGCUCUUACGGGUGGCGAGUGGCGGACGGGUGAGGAAUACAUCGGAAUCUACUUUUUCGUGGGGGAUAACGUAGGGAAACUUACGCUAAUACCGCAUACGACCUACGGGUGAAAGCAGGGGAUCUUCGGACCUCGCGCGAUUGAAUGAGCCGAUGUCGGAUUAGCUAGUUGGCGGGGUAAAGGCCCACCAAGGCGACGAUCCGUAGCUGGUCUGAGAGGAUGAUCAGACACACUGGAACUGAGACACGGUCCAGACUCCUACGGGAGGCAGCAGUGGGGAAUAUUGGACAAUGGGCGCAAGCCUGAUCCAGCCAUACCGCGUGGGUGAAGAAGGCCUUCGGGUUGUUAAGCCCUUUUGUUGGGAAAGAAAAGCAGCAGGUUAAUACCCCGCUGUUCUGACGGUACCCAAAGAAUAAGCACCGGCUAACUUCGUG